rnacentral:rRNA from 1 species
GAUGAACGCUGGCGGCGUGCCUAAUACAUGCAAGUCGAGCGAACAGACGAGGAGCUUGCUCCUCUGACGUUAGCGGCGGACGGGUGAGUAACACGUGGAUAACCUACCUAUAAGACUGGGAUAACUUCGGGAAACCGGAGCUAAUACCGGAUAAUAUAUUGAACCGCAUGGUUCAAUAGUGAAAGACGGUUUUGCUGUCACUUAUAGAUGGAUCCGCGCCGCAUUAGCUAGUUGGUAAGGUAACGGCUUACCAAGGCAACGAUGCGUAGCCGACCUGAGAGGGUGAUCGGCCACCCUGGAACUGAGACACGGUCCAGACUCCUACGGGAGGCAGCAGUAGGGAAUCUUCCGCAAUGGGCGAAAGCCUGACGGAGCAACGCCGCGUGAGGGAUGAAGGUCUUCGGAUCGUAAAACUCUGUUAUUAGGGAAGAACAAAUGUGUAAGUAACUAUGCACGUCUUGACGGUACCUAAUCAGAAAGCCACGGCUAACUACGUG